GAUGAAGAACGCAGCGAAAUGCGAUAAGUAAUGUGAAUUGCAGAAUUCAGUGAAUCAUCGAAUCUUUGAACGCACAUUGCGCCCGCCAGCAUUCUGGCGGGCAUGCCUGUUCGAGCGUCAUUACAACCCUCAGGCCCCCGGGCCUGGCGUUGGGGAUCGGCGGAGCCCCCCGUGGGCACACGCCGUCCCCCAAAUGCAGUGGCGGUCCCGCCGCAGCUUCCAUCGCGUAGUAGCUAACACCUCGCGACUGGAGAGCGGCGCGGCCACGCCGUAAAACACCCAACUCUUCUGAAGUUGACCUCGAAUCAGGUAGGAAUACCCGCUGAACUUAAGCAUAUCAAUAAGCGGAGGA
rnacentral:misc_RNA from 1 species